rnacentral:miRNA from 1 species
UGAUGCCUGGCAUUUUGUGUGU